rnacentral:rRNA from 1 species
AUUGAACGCUGGCGGCAUGCUUUACACAUGCAAGUCGAACGGUAACAGGUUAAGCUGACGAGUGGCGAACGGGUGAGUAAUGCAUCGGAACGUGCCCGGUCGUGGGGGAUAACGCAGCGAAAGCUGCGCUAAUACCGCAUACGAUCUGAGGAUGAAAGCGGGGGGCCGUAAGGCCUCGCGCGAUCGGAGCGGCCGGUGUCAGAUUAGGUAGUGGGUGGGGUAAAGGCUCACCAAGCCAACGAGCUGUAGCUGGUCUGAGAGGACGACCAGCAGGCCUGGGACUGAGACACGGCCCAGACUCCUACGGGAGGCAGCAGUGGGGAAUUUUGGACAAUGGGCGAAAGCCUGAUCCGGCAAUGCCGCGGGCAGGAAGAAGGCCUUCGGGUUGUAAACUGCUUUUGUACGGAGCGAAAAGGUCUCCUCUAAUACAGGGGGCUCAUGACGGUACCGUAAGAAUAAGCACCGGCUAACUACGUGCCAGCCGCCGCCGUAA